UGUAACGGACAAAUAUAAAUCCCGUUACAACUAAAUAACUCUCUAGGGUUAAAGAUCGGUUCCUACAUACUUCCCCAGCCGCAUUUCUUCCUCACUUCUCUUGUCUUUCUCUCUCCUCAAAUCACUCUCUCUUUCUGCAUUUCUCUUCUUCCUCACUCAUCUUCUCUUUCUCUCUCCUCAAAUCACUGUCAACACUGCUCAUUUCUCUUCCCGCAUUUCUCUUCUUCCUCACUCGUCUUCUCUCUCUUCCUGUUCUUCAAGCUCAACAACAAUGGCGGCGACUCCAUUUUCAGUCGAGAAGACCACCUCUGGUAGACUCUAAAUCGAGCUUGCUGAAGUCGAAAUGCCUGGACUUAUAUCUUGCCGUACUGAAUUUGGUCCUUCUCAACCUUUUAAAGGUGCUAAGAUGACUGGAUCUCUUCAUAUGACUAUUCAAACUGCUGUUCUUAUUGAGACUCAUACUACUCUUGUUGCUGAAGUUCGUUGGUGUUCUUGCUACAUCUUCUCUACCCAGAUGUGUGCAACAAAAAUUAGGGGGACCUACUGUUGCUGAAUAUGAGAAACUUCAGACUGAGAUGUCAGACCUGCAGGAGAAAUACAAAGAGCUUCUGGCCACCCAUGAAGAGACUAUUAAGCAGGUUCUUCUUGAUUAGGAGAGAUACAUGAUAAGUAGUGAUGGCUCUAGCAUUCCCGAUUCACUUGCUGUGCCUAUGGGAGCUGAAAAUCAGUUUGGGUAUGGUGAUAAGUAAACCGAGAGUACGACAAGAUAUGCUACUCAGAUCUUCUCCGGGGGCUUCAACAGUUCAACAAUCAACACGGUUGGUAGUGCUUCCUCCAGUUCCUCCUCCACUGCCCCCCUUUGCUGAAAUCACGCCAAAAUUAAACAACAGGAACAACCCGAGAAAGGACAACAAUCUGCUGUUGUUGCUGAAACAGUUUCGAAUUAUGAGCAAACGAGAGAGCAACGUAUUGAAUUUGAAUCUCAUCUUAGUUAUAGCAAUUAGCAAGUGCAUGACUUGUUUUAAAUUUCUUUAAUUGAUAAAAUCAUUUGAAUGUUGUAUAGCUUUUGCUAAUUGAAUAACUGUAUAUUUGUAUAAAUUAUUAUUUAAAAUUAUUUAUUUUUAGUAAUUGAUAAUUUAUAAUAGUAAUUAAAAUUU